rnacentral:siRNA from 1 species
UGGAGAAAUCUACGUGAUAUAUGG